rnacentral:rRNA from 1 species
UACGUAGGGUGCAAGCGUUGUCCGGAAUUACUGGGCGUAAAGGGCGCGUAGGCGGUCGUGACAAGUCACUUGUGAAAUCUCCGGGCUUAACUCGGAACGGUCAAGUGAUACUGUCGGACUAGAGUACAGAAGGGGCAACUGGAAUUCUCGGUGUAGCGGUGAAAUGCGUAGAUAUCGAGAGGAACACCUGCGGCGAAGGCGGGUUGCUGGGCUGAUACUGACGCUGAGGCGCGAAAGCCAGGGGAGCGAACGGG